ensembl:lncRNA
AUAAAAGCCAACAUUGUGUCCAGAUUCCUGUAAGCUCUGCUUGCUUCAGUGACAGUUUACAAGUGCAGUUAAUGAGUUAAUGUGAAGAUACAAACUCUUAUUGAAAGGGAAUGACUAUAUUACAUGAAGAAGAAAAAAAUAAGUCAUGAAGAUUCUGUUCUCUCUGAAUUGUCAUCCAAAUGAGGGGAAGGACAAGAGCCAUGCUGGCAGAGUUCCCUUUUAGAUCCUGAAAGACCUUUCUCAGGUCACCUCACAGCCUUCUCUUCUCCAGGCUGAACAGCCCCAGCUCUUUCAGCCUGUACUCAUGGGGAAGGUGUUCCAUCUCUUGGAUGAUUUUUGUGGCCCUCCUUUGGAUGCACUCCACAGGUCCAUGUCUCUCCUGUACUGAGGACACCACAUCUGAACACAGUACUCCAGCAUCUUCCUGCCUGCACGGUACCCGACAACUUUGGGUGAAUUGCUGGUGUCUGAUGCUAGCAAUUGUAAGUUAGCACCUGGCUCAGUCCUGCUGUUGUUAGACCAGCAAAACUUGAAAAAGAAAACAGCUUUUGUGCUGGAUGUAGAAGUGAAAUAACCAUUUACAAUUCAGAAAAACAGAUGACAAGGUCAGAAACAUGAAGACAAGGAUAAAAGACCAACUCUGAUCUGAUGAGCCAUUGGAGUCUUCAAUAUAAAUUCACUUAGACACCAGCAGAGCUUUAAGCAGAGUUGAAUUUUCAUGCUGGAAAGAUGGAUGUUUUUAUAAAGCUUCCUCGCUCCCAUUUAAUGGGAGAGGAAUUUUAGUUUCAGCACAUGAUUAAACAUGAUGAAAAGAAAUAUUGUUUGAGCCAAUAGUAAUCAAGUGUUUGUUCCAUGAUUUUCAUUGUUAAUUUUUACUGUUCUGAUCAGUAAUGCGUUUUUCUUCUCUCAGAAGGCAAGGUAUAGCACUUUAAUGGCUGUCAGUCAUCUCACAUUGUAAGCUACAAGCACUUUAGGAAUUACUGAACCAAUGUUUGGCAGAGGCUAACAAAAUCACAUCCAUGCAGUGUGAAUAAUCUGAUUCAUGUAUCUUCAUUCAAUAUUUUUAACAAUGCAGGCCAAAAAAAAAAAAAAAAAGGGCAGCUUUCUCUCUUCUUAAUUCAUAUUGUACUGAAGUGUUUGAAGCAGAAAACCAGCUAAUGGCUAAUGAUCAAGUUUCUGACUUCUCAAGAGAUACGCUACCUGCAGGUAUGUGCGUAAAUCCCACCUGGUCCUCCAACAUGCUCUCAGGUGUCCCUUACCUGUACAGCUCUUAGCAACUCAGAAGGGACUGAGUGCUGACAAUCUGCAGAAUAUCAUCAGUUUUUACUGCAAGCACUGGGAGCUCAUGGAGCUCUGCAUCUUUCCAGAUUCAAUUCUGAAGGUGCCAGUAGUUUUAUAAUUCAAUCCACCAAGAAACAUACUGAAAAACCAUUUCAUACAGAUCAACACACAGACUAGGCAGCAAUAUCUCUCCCUCAUAGCAAGGCAGCAGCCUGGAUGCCAAAGUCUCUCUAAUGUAUGUUUUUUCACAAGCUGUCAUAAUGCUGUUUCUGGGUAUUUAUUCCCUUUUGAAUUAUCCAGGAGAAUAAGAAUUGGAUAGGUAGGUAAUCCUCAAACAUUUUCUUAGUUAAGUUUGCACUGAGGAAAAAGAUCUGUACUAACUCAAUUCAUUCUGAGUGAAACCCAGACAAGACAUUAUUAACUAAAUCUUUGAAAUAUUUUUAUUAAGUGCUCUUCUAAAUAUAACAAAGAUUUAGACAACUAACCAUUAUCAAUCACCUAGGUUUCCCCAAAAUUGCGUAGUGAUCGGUAUAACUAAGGCAAAGAUACAUCUCCUUCUUUUGACUGUAGAGACGGCCCAGAAAGCUAGUGUAGGCUAAUAAUAAAGCACCUAAUCACAGUACAAAUUAUUCUGUAUUUUCAUCACACUUUUUUUUUUUCAGCACAUGUUCAAAAACAAUACAGUGGAAUAAUAACAUCUAGGAGUUGACUUAACAUUAGCAAUAAGGAUUAGACCCAAUGAUGAGACCCAAUGAGGAUAAUCAGACUUCCCAGGAAUUCACUAAAGAAGUUUGCUUCAGAAAACAGCACAGUUUGAGCCAUGACUUCAGAAAUACAAUAACAAAUAUAAAAUAUUUCAUACAAUUUACUUUGAGAUGGGUGAAACUAAGGGAUGAAGAGAUGAUUGUGUGUUGCUGAAAUGCCUGACAAUAGAGUUUGACAACUUCCUGAACGUAUAGAUUAAUGUUUAGCUAGGCAAAGCAGUAUAAACAGGAGUGAUUAGAAAAUCAAAUGAAAGUAAAACACACAAAUAGUUGAACAUCAUAUUUCCUACGCUUUCCAAUAUGUUUCCUCUCAGUCUGAAACAAUUUUUUCUGAAAAAUAUCUGGUAAAAAAUUCCUUGAGCCUAGUUGUUAUUUCUAACAGCUACUUUAUAUGAAUGUCAUAAACUCAGCAGGCUUGAUCUUAGGAAUAAAGACGCCAUCCUUUUAUAAUGUUUUUGUUACAAAUUACGGAUGACACCUUUAAAAAAGAGCUUAAGACUGAUGUAUGCCUACUGCUACUCUGCCUAUUGCUCUUUGCUGAGAAAUAAAUUUUACCUUUAAGUGUGAAGUUAGUGAUGAUCUCUUACCAGAGAUUUCAACUAAUUCUGAAUUCAUUCAGGCGUUAUACCAUUUGAAAGUCUCUCUUAAAUGCUGGUAUUUUUGGAAAAGCUUAGAUAAAGAGAGGAGGAGGGUGUAAGCAGAACUCAGUACAAAGAGAAGGAAAAAUAUAGCAGUAUGAAAACUAAAGCUAAAAUAAAGAGAAAAGAGGAGAGAAGCUAUGGAGUGAUUAUUAUUUUAGUAAGAAGGACUACCAUGAUCAAAUCUUCAACCUGUAUGUAAUGACAGAUCAAGCUAACACCAUCACAGAACAGUGAGUGGCAGAAAGAGUCCUCUGGCAGAUGGAACUCAAAGUAGGAUGCGAUUUUCACAGACCUCUACUGUGACUGGGACAAGCCUUUCUCCACUGUAAUUCUGUGAAAGGGAAAUGAAAGUUUUCACUUUCAAGAGCUGUUGAAAAAAAAAAAAAUCAGUAAUUCUUUAUGACAUCUUCAGAUGUAAAAGUGUAUAAUCAUUUAAAUACAGAAUAACUUAUAUCAAACAGCAGAAAAGCUAGUCUGUAAUCUUUCCUGCACCCUGGUUCUCUUUUUGUUAUAUUAUUUGUCAUAUAACGGAGAACAACCAGUGUAUAUAGACUGUAUUGCGUUUCUAGCAAAUUCGUCUGAGCUAAAGCAAAAUAAAAAUCACACACUACCCUGCAUUCUAAUUCAGUGCUUCAGCUUUGAGAAUUUACUUGCAGAAUCAAAAUGUACCUAUUAUCUUUAUUGUACUAUGCAAGACACAUUUUUGGAAACAGAACCACUCCUGGCCCUGAAUGCUUUUUCAAAGACCAUCCCACCAUAGAAAACACCGACAUCUUUCAAGUAAAAUGUGGAAUAUGGAAACCAAUUAUUC